ACAAUUCUGACCACUUGGAACUUUCGGAUUUACGAACACGUGAGAGUAAAAAGUGGGAUGUUUUUUGAGGGUACUUAUGACAAUUCAAAGGUUUAAUGGUUCUUAAUUGUCGUGAGCUGUGGUUCACGAGGUUAGACUUGUACUCAAUAAAUGUCCAGCAAAAUUUAACCUUUUUCUGGCUGUAAAUUGACAAGGGCACUCACCCCCCACUUGAAAAGACAACAUCAUCCUAAGGCUUAUAAAAAAUCUCCACUGUGCCUCAACAGUUCAACACCUUAUUUCAGC
rnacentral:misc_RNA from 1 species